ACUAGAGGGCUUGCCUUAGUAGCGGCGAGUGAACAGGCAAAAGCUCAGAUUUGAAAGCCUCUCGGGGCAUUGUAUUCUGAAGUCAGUUUCCUGAGUGUCGAUACUUAAGUCUUCUGGAAAGGAGCGCCAUGGAGGGUGACAGCCCCGUACUGUAUCUAACUCAUUGUAGGAGUCUGACGUGGAGUCGAGUUGUUUGGGAAUGCAGCUCAAAAGGGUGGUAUGCUCCAUCUAAAGCUAAAUAUCUGUGAGAGACCGAUAGCGAACAAGUACUGUGAAGGAAAGAUGAAAAGAACUUUGAAAAGAGAGUGAAAUAGUACGUGAAAUUGUUGAAAUGGAAGGGUAGGCCGCUAACAAUGUAGAACCGUAUUCGGGGGGAAGAUAAAAUCUGUUGAAUGUGGCUCUUCGGAGUGUUAUAGCUUCAGACAAUAUUCCCACCUGGGUGCGAGGAUCUCAGGUUCUACUAAAUGGUGGUCUACCACCCGUCUUGAAACCGGGACCAAAAGUCGAUAGAUGUACGCGGUCCAGGGGGGUGGUUUAUUAAGACUGUUCAUAGUUUUUAUAGUGAAUCUUCUUGCUAGGCGGCCAUAAAAAGGAGAACCCUGACUUUUUUCUAGAAAAGUAGAGAGAAAAACGGCGGCCACCAACGUAAUAUCCCUAA
rnacentral:rRNA from 1 species